rnacentral:rRNA from 1 species
UACAGGGGGGGCAAGCGUUGUUCGGAAUUAUUGGGCGUAAAGAGCGCGUAGGUGGCUGUAUAAGUCCGUUGUGAAAGUCAAAGGCUCAACCUUUGAAAGCCGAUGGAUACUGUAGAGCUAGAGUACGGAAGAGGCGAGUGGAAUUCCUGGUGUAGCGGUGGAAUGCGCAGAUAUCAGGAGGAACACCAAUAGCGAAGGCAGCUCGCUGGGACGUUACUGACACUGAGGCGCGAAAGCGUGGGGAGCGAACAGG